ensembl:lincRNA Kantr Kdm5c adjacent non-coding transcript
GGUGGAGCAUUGCGUGAAGCGUCUGCGUGUCUGCGAGAUCUUGCUGUGGGCCAGGUAUCCAUUCUCCUGCGGCUGCUUAGACCCUACGGAGACUAGAGGUCCGUGGGUGGUGGAGGAUCCUUUGCGUAGCAAAAAAAGAAGGCGAGUGCCCCUGCAUCCUCUCCAGACGGUACCCAGGGUCUCGCUUUUCAGAUCUAGCUGUUGUGGACCUCACUGAGAUCCCCAUCUGCCUACAAAGUGCUGGGAUUAAAGAACAUCCACCAUUAUUAGAACCAUCACCCUGCAGCUAGCUUGGACAUCCUUAAAAGGGCUCAUCAGAAGUAUCUGAUAUUCAUGAAGACAGAGUUUCAGGGUUUCUGCCUGGAGCUACACCCUCCAGGAGCCCCUGCUUGGCUUCC